rnacentral:rRNA from 1 species
GGAAUAUUGGACAAUGGGCGGGAGCCUGAUCCAGCCAUGCCGCGUGCAGGAUGACGGCCCUAUGGGUUGUAAACUGCUUUUAUACGGGAAGAAACGCACCUACGUGUAGGUGUCUGACGGUACCGUAAGAAUAAGGACCGGCUAACUCCGUGCCAGCAGCCGCGGUAAUACGGAGGGUCCGAGCGUUAUCCGGAAUCAUUGGGUUUAAAGGGUCCGUAGGCGGGCCUGUAAGUCAGGGGUGAAAGUUUGUGGCUCAACCAUAAAAUUGCCUUUGAUACUGCAGGUCUUGAGUCAUGGUGGGGUUGCCGGAACAUGUGGUGUAGCGGUGAAAUGCAUAGAUAUCACAUAGAACACCGAUCGCGAAGGCAGGUGACCAACCAUGUACUGACGCUGAUGGACGAAAGCGUGGGUAGCGAACGGGAUUAGAAACCCUGGUAGUCC